UACGUAGGGUCCGAGCGUUGUCCGGAAUUAUUGGGCGUAAAGAGCGUGUAGGCGGUCCGGUAAGUCGGCUGUGAAAGUCCAGGGCUCAACCCUGGGAUGCCGGUCGAUACUGCCGGACUAGAGUUCGGAAGAGGCGAGUGGAAUUCCCGGUGUAGCGGUGAAAUGCGUAGAGAUCGGGAGGAACACCAGAGGCGAAGGCGGCGACCUGGACAGUUACUGACACUCAACGUACGAAAG
rnacentral:rRNA from 1 species